CAGAGAGCUGCGGUUCCUCGCACCGACCACCUAGCAGGGCAGGCGGCUGCCGGGCUGCAGGUAGCUAUCUCCUCAGAGGGCUGGAGCUUUGCUGGCUUCCUUCAAGCUGCCGUGUGGUUUUCUUCCUUUAAACGUGUUUGUGUUCUGUACAGGCCCUUCCCACCCCACAGACCUCUUCCCCAUCUCUGAUCUUGGAGGGGACACUUCCACGGCUGACUUGUCUCCAUUGAUCUACAGACACUUGAGAAGCACCGGAGAGGCGGGAAGAGUCAUUCCUGAUGAGAAAUGGAUUUUUUCCCCCCACGCUCAUUAUUGUAGAGGACUGUCAGUUUCCCUUGGCAGCCUGUACAAUGGGCUUGCUCUCUAAUAAAUGCAGAUAGCAUUAAAUUAAUGUUUCAUUCCCAUGGUGACAAAGAGUGGCAUCCAGUUACAGCACAGGAUAAUUCAAUGACAGUAUGGCCACAAACAACUACCUUGCCUGUUAUGGGCUAAUCAGAAAUGCAGGCUGUUUGAAUUUGACUCAAAGCAUCCACGUAGCUUGGAGUGAGUUUAUUAACCUGGAGACAUACUGGUGAAAAUGAGCUAGGAACCUGGAAAUGAGAUAAUAUGCAUAAAAAAGAGCCAAAGCACAUAAAAAUAAGCAUAAAUGUGUGAGUCAGUUUUAAUGAAAAUUUUCCUUCUACUCUUCACCCAGCUCUAACUGAAACCUGUGCAGGAGCUGUCAGUGGAGGAGACCUGCAUCCACACCUGCAUGCAGGAGUGUAAGUACGUGUGGAGAUGAAGAAGAGGAUCCUUGUUUUGUAUGCUUGGCUAACAAAGCUGGUAGAGAUCAGGCUGCCAGAGAGGAAAAUGGUGCAGUUAGGCUUUGUCGUGCUCUUUGGGCAGAGUUUGGCCACGUGUAAAAGCUGCAGAGAACCAGCCCCAGAGGUAUUUGGGAACUGUUAAAUGAAGGAGCUCCAACAGACAAGCAGAUCCACAGCAGAGAGACUCUAAAGGCUGUUGAAGGCUGAAGAGUGACCAGAGCCUUCCAGCACUCUGCCGUGCUACUGUGAAGGGAGCUUCUGGCCCUCAGGCAAGACCUAGCUCUGGCGUUCCUCUCUCUUCUCCUCUGCUGCUUUUGUCCCCUUUUGCUGGAUGCGUAGCUGAUGGGCUUUCAUUAGGCUCAAGAGCAAAUGCAUCUUUCUUUUGAAUUUAUAAUACACAUGGGUAGAUACUCUGCAGGGAACAAGACACUGAGCUCUUUGAGGCAACUUGUAAAGAAGGAGAGAUUUUGCAAGGACAAGGAAUUCAGACUUCAUUAUUAUGACUUGCCCCAGGGUUAUGUUCUGCACAUCAGCAGUUCUGCAUGAGAGGAAGGACCAGCAGCAGAGGGUUCCCCUUUUGCUUGUGUUUAGCUGUAUGUGCUGCAUGUUUCUGAAUGCCUAUUUUGCUGCAUGUGUGAGCUUGGGAUAAAAUCUCAUGUGUGCUAGUUGCUUUUUUCUUUUCAUCAGAUUAGUUAUUUAAAAGCCUCUCAUUCAUGUCCCCUAGAAUUAUUCUAAAGAUUCUCAUUACACUUGUUUAUUUUUUCUUAAUGAAAGCUCUUGGAGCCACAUCUGGCAUAUCUUAUUGAUCAUAAUCUCAUGGCUGGAAACUCAUCUUGGUAACUAUAGCAACAGAAUUUUUUAUGUUUUUUUUCUUCAAAUGCCAACAAAACUCCACCAAAACUGUAAUAAGGAGGAGCAGAUAAUUUAAAUUACCAUGUAGCCAAUACCCUUUUUUCUGUAACCAAUUCUGAGUUUACUACUUUGAUACAGAAAACAAUGGAUAGGAACAAAAUCUUUUGACAGUUGUAUCUGCUAUGGAAGCUCGUGAAAGAGAAUGACGUGGAUGAAAA